ACUCACCCGGCUGGCAAGCAGACUGGCUUUUGGAAGCAAACAAGACUGUUUUGAACCACUGCCAAAUGAGACAGCCUCUGCCGGCACAGCUGAAACUUUUUACAGCCUCCCCUCACUUCGACAGGAAGAGACACGGGGAGCAAAUUUGUAGGCAAGAGGGAAAAAAAACAGUAAAAUAAAUCUUUGUAGCGUCUGCAACUAAGGCAUUGCAUCAAGGAUUUCCUUCUGUGCUUUCACGCUCUCCUUCUUUGGCAAGGUGCCAUUUGAAAAAAAGAUGUUUAAAAGAGAUUUUUUUUUCUCUCUCUCUCUCUGGGAGGAUUGAACGGGGAACGGAUGUGCUAGGAAGUGAAGAGUUCAAUGAGUUCAGUAAAUGAGAGAUAUGUAAAUGCAUAAAUAACAAAGGAACUGUGACGUCAUGCACUGUGCUGCCCAAGACACUGCCUGCAAGCAGACGGGACAAAUGUGGACUCAUUUGACAAGAUACCAUUUGCGUCCUAUAUAGAGUAUUUCUGUUUUACAUCACAGAUUCUUGCACAGGAAGAGGACCAUGUGAUGUCUGCAACGACUGUGACGAAUGACAUGUUCUCUUUCAUGGUGAGGACUUGAGGACCUGACAAACUUUUAACAUUAUGACUCCACUGAAAACUGCAACAACAUUUCUCAGUGCUUAUUUGCAUAGCGUUUUGCUACUCCUAACUAAAUGACUUCAUGCAAAGUGCAACACGGAUGAUGAUGUCAGACACGAGGUGAGUCGCAAAAGCAAAUGAAUCAGUCAGACAAAUGAGAUUAACCGAGUAUAGUGUCUUUAAGACUCUUUGAGGAAGUACUACGGACCACUCAUGUCAUGUUUCUCUUCGUUUGACAUCCGAAACGCAGGCAGUGGCAGAACAGUCACUGGAUGUGUAUAAUGAUUAGCGCGGACUAUAACUGGAAGGAUCAAACUUCCUGGGACAGAUGCCAAAUGCUGACAAAGGAAAUCAUUGCAUUCUCAGGACAAGCAAAAUCAACUUUGUCCUCUUGCGCUUCUUUUGGGAGGGUUAUUUAUAAUUCCUCGAGGAACCACAUAAAGCAAGACUAAAUGCUGAAGGGGUUGGUCACAUGCUUUGGCUAAAUGCAUAAAAAAAUCAUGUAAUCAUUAUCCUGUUUUGAAUCCUGUGUAACUCUGGACCCAUUCAGCUAAUCAAGAGUUUCCAUUAAAUAAUCGAUUCUGAGCCCUUAUUUUGCAGACUGUAUACUAGGAGAAACUGUGACUGGGAAAGAGGGGUACAACCUGACCUUCUCACAUUCCCAUAAAACAAGUUUGUCAAGUUUUGCGUGCUAGAUUAACACAGACGGUAGCAAUAACUGUGCCUUUAUGGGCACUUUGUGAUUUUCAGCAUGCCAAAUCCUCUCUUCCUGAUCUCUGAUUUCUUUUACGUUACUCAAACUCCCUUACUUUCUCCACCUCCUCUCUCCCUCUCUGAGCUUCGGUCUUUCACUUCGCAUCCUGUGCCAAAGUGGGCAGGGAGAAAGAACUCGUGGUGAGGUGGGUGAAACGGAGGCCGCUGUACGUGCUCUUUCUUCAGCCACAACCCCGAGGAAGAGCAUGUUUGGUGGUAGCACGUUUCUAGGUCUCUCUCCCCGAGAUAGGCGUAGUAUGUGCAUGAGUCUACUCUUCUCGCCGCCAUGACCCUGCCUUGUGUUCUUGGAUUUUGAAGCCUCUAGUCUGCAGGUCGAGUCUAAUAACAACAAAGUCAUCACAUGACCAGACCGCGGCAUGCACUGCAGCUGGUGGAAAUCAUAUAGAGCAUUCAAUUAGCAUUUUGUUCUCUUUCCCCCCACUCCUAUGUCACCAUGGACAUUCCUGCUGUGGCCCUGCAAUGCCUGGAGAAGGGUGACUGUCCGCUGGAAGAACACACACAUGACUUUUUACAUACUGUAUUGUGC